rnacentral:lncRNA from 1 species
GUAAGAAAAAGUGAAGGGCUCAAGAAAGGAUGAGGAGGGGCUGGGGAAAGCCCUGGCAGGGCAAUAGGAGCAUGGAUUGAAAGGGGCUGAUGGCGGGUGUGGCCCAAACACCCAGCCAGGCCCAGCGGGGAGGUGAGCGGAACUGACGUGGAGCUCGAGAGGAGACUCCAGGCAGACACAGUUUAGAGGAAAGUGCCAGGAGAGGGAAGUGGAGUCGGAUCCACCCAUCCCCUGUCCAUCCUAAGGUGGCAGGACCCCACAGCACAGCAGGGCCUUUGAAGUCCCAAGGUCGGGGAGAUCUAGUGGCCUAGCAUCCUGGGGAUCUGGAUGCCAGCUCAGAGUGCAGAUCUAUGGAGCCAAGGGAAAGAGGCCAUUGGCAAGUCAGGAAGGCCCAAUGUGGAGAGGGAAGCCGGGCCCACCAAACUCCUUGUUCUUUCUCUUGGCCUGACCUGUGAAAGGAAUGGGAUGUGACUGGGCCUUGGGCAAGUCACUUUAGCUCCAUGUGCCUCCAUUCCCUUCCUUGUUAGAUGGAGACUCUGCUUCCAUCACAAAGAGCCAACCCUUGACUCUGCCUCCAUCACAAAGAUGUUCUAAUCCAAUCUGAUGACAGAUGUGAAGGUUUUUCAUUUGAAAUAGUAGAACUGCUUCACAGGUACUACUCAUGGCCAGAAGGCUGGGGUCUAGCGCCCAGUUCUCUACUUUAUUUUUUUUUAUAUACAGAGUUUUGCUCUUGUCACCCAGGCUGGAGUGCAAUGGCGCAAUCUUGGCUCACCACAACCUUCGCCGCCUCCCAUGUUCGAGCGAUUCUCCUGCCUCAGCCUCCCGAGUAGCUUGGAUUACAGGCAUGCGCCACCAUGGUGGCUUAUUUUGUAUUUUUAGCAGAGACAGGGUUUCUCCAUGUUGGUCAGGCUGGUCUCAAACUCCUGACCUCAGCCCUUUCCUAACAUGGUGCAGCCUGGUGGCCCCUGCUUCCAAGCCACAUCCCUGCCUGAUGGCAUCUCAAAAGCAUUUUUCAGGCUGGGUGCAGUGGCUCACGCCUGAAAUCUCAGCACUUUGGGAGGCUGAGGCAGGUGGAUCACCUGAGGUCUGGGGUUCAAAACCAGCCCGACCAACAUGGAGAAAACCUGUCUCUACUAAAAUUACAAAAUUAGCUGGGCAUGGUGGUGCAUGUCUGUAA